CUGGCGGUCAUAUCACUUUGAAACACUAGUUUUCUUACUAUCACUGAAGUUAAGCAACAUCAAGCCUGGUGAGUAACUAGAUGGGUGAUCGCUUGGGAAUAUCAGGUGCUGUAUU